UUGACUUGGACUGAAGCUCCCAAGGGAUCACCUUAGCCAAGCCCAGUCACCCUGAACACACUGUCUCCUUGGAGCUGACACCUGCAGGUCAAGCUACAGUCAAGGCUACUACGAGACAGCCUGAUCCCACUCUCCCUAUGCACAGGGCAGACACAUCAAGCCUGGGCUGCAGUAUGUGACACAGAAGAAAGGAAAGGAUAACAGUGAAGGAAAUACUUGAGAUCUCAAGAGAUUCUUUGUGAUGCUCCUGCUAACUGGAUAAGAAGACACCAAUGCAAAAAAUAUCCACCUAACAUAUACUGGCUUCUUCCUCGAAAGACUGCCUGGCCUCUGGAACCUCAGUUUCUCAGGACUGCAGCUGGAAAGAGAACCCCCAAGACUCAGCUACCCAGGAAAAAUUCUUAGAAUUGGAGCCAGAAAGAUACU